rnacentral:rRNA from 1 species
GACAGAGGGUGCGAACGUUGUUCGGAAUCAUUGGGCGUAAAGGGCGCGUAGGCGGCCGCCUAAGUCAGACGUGAAAUCCCUCGGCUCAACCGGGGAACUGCGUCUGAUACUGGGUGGCUUGAAUCCGGGAGAGGGAUGCGGAAUUCCAGGUGUAGCGGUGAAAUGCGUAGAUAUCUGGAGGAACACCGGUGGCGAAGGCGGCAUCCUGGACCGGCAUUGACGCUGAGGCGCGAAAGCCAGGGGAGCAAACGGG